UUUGUGUAGGAAACUUUUUGUGGGAAAUUUAUUUUCGAAAUAUUGUAGACCCGAAAAAUCAAUAUUUCAUUUUGUUAACCUAUAACAUUUUCUAAAUAUGGGUAAAAUGAUCAUUAAAAAUUAAAAGAGGGUAUAAAUGAAAAUGACAAACUGGAAACGGCAUGAUUGAAAAAAGAAAGUGUUGAAAUGAUAUUCUUAGCAAU
rnacentral:sRNA from 1 species